GAUGAACGCUGGCGGCGUGCCUAAUACAUGCAAGUCGAGCGAACGGACGAGAAGCUUGCUUCUCUGAUGUUAGCGGCGGACGGGUGAGUAACACGUGGAUAACCUACCUAUAAGACUGGGAUAACUUCGGGAAACCGUAGCUAAUACCGGAUAAUAUUUUGAACCGCAUGGUUCAAAAGUGAAAGACGGUCUUGCUGUCACUUAUAGAUGGAUCCGCGCUGCAUUAGCUAGUUGGUAAGGUAACGGCUUACCAAGGCAACGAUGCAUAGCCGACCUGAGAGUGUGAUCGGCCACACUGGAACUGAUACACGGUCCAGACUCCUACGGGAGGCAGCAGUAGGGAAUCUUCCGCAAUGGGCGAAAGCCUGACGGAGCAACGCCGCGUGAGUGAUGAAGGUCUUCGGAUCGUAAAACUCUGUUAUUAGGGAAGAACAUAUGUGUAAGUAACUGUGCACAUCUUGACGGUACCUAAUCAGAAAGCCACGGCUAACUACGUG
rnacentral:rRNA from 1 species